GGAGAAUUAGCUCAGUUGGUAGAUCGCUCACUUUGCAUGCGAGCGGUACCGGGAUCGAUACCAGGAUUCUCCA
rfam:Octopus bimaculoides Scaffold13237_contig_1, whole genome shotgun sequence.